rnacentral:rRNA from 1 species
GCCCAAUUGAUUGAUGGUGCUUGCACCUGAUUGAUUUUCGUUGCCAACGAGUGGCGGACGGGUGAGUAACACGUAGGUAACCUGCCCAGAAGCGGGGGACAACAUUUGGAAACAGAUGCUAAUACCGCAUAACAGCGUUGUUCGCAUGAACAACGCUUAAAAGAUGGCUUCUCGCUAUCACUUCUGGAUGGACCUGCGGUGCAUUAGCUUGUUGGUGGGGUAACGGCCUACCAAGGCGAUGAUGCAUAGCCGAGUUGAGAGACUGAUCGGCCACAAUGGGACUGAGACACGGCCCAUACUCCUACGGGAGGCAGCAGUAGGGAAUCUUCCACAACGGGCGCAAGCCUGAUGGAGCAACACCGCGUGAGUGAAGAAGGGUUUCGGCUCGUAAAGCUCUGUUGUUAAAGAAGAACACGUAUGAGAGUAACUGUUCAUACGUUGACGAUAUUUAACCAGAAAGUCACGGCUAACUACGUGCCAGCAGCCGCGGUAAUACGUAGGUGGCAAGCGUUAUCCGGAUUUAUUGGGCGUAAAGAGAGUGCAGGCGGUUUUCUAAGUCUGAUGUGAAAGCCUUCGGCUUAACCGGAGAAGUGCAUCGGAAACUGGAUAACUUGAGUGCAGAAGAGGGUAGUGGAACUCCAUGUGUAGCGGUGGAAUGCGUAGAUAUAUGGAAGAACACCAGUGGCGAAGGCGGCUACCUGGUCUGCAACUGACGCUGAGACUCGAAAGCAUGGGUAGCGAACAGGAUUAGAUACCCUGGUA